rnacentral:rRNA from 1 species
CCUACGGGAGGCAGCAGUGAGGAAUAUUGGUCAAUGGACGAGAGUCUGAACCAGCCAAGUCGCGUGAAGGAUGACUGCCCUAUGGGUUGUAAACUUCUUUUAUAAGGGAAUAAAACGAGCCACGUGUGCCUUUUAGCAUGUACCUUAUGAAUAAGGAUCGGCUAACUCCGUGCCAGCAGCCGCGGUAAUACGGAGGAUCCGAGCGUUAUCCGGAUUUAUUGGGUUUAAAGGGAGCGUAGAUGGGUUGUUAAGUCAGUUGUGAAAGUUUGCGGCUCAACCGCAAGAUGGCCUUUGAUACUGGCAGGCUCGAGUACGGUUGAGGUAGGCGGAAUUCGUGGUGUAGCGGUGAAAUGCUUAGAUAUCACGAAGAACCCCGAUUGCGAAGGCAGCACACUGGACUGACACUGACGCUGAGGCACGAAAGUGUGGGUAUCGAACAGGAUUAGAUACCCUAGUAGUC